rnacentral:rRNA from 1 species
GUUUCGAAUCAUUCACAAUGGGCGAAAGCCUGAUGGUGCGACGCCGCGUGAGGGAUGAAGGUCUUCGGAUUGUAAACCUCUGUCACUGGGGAGAAAACGCUUUGAGUUAAUAGUUCAAAGCCUGAUUUAACCCGGAGAGGAAGCAGUGGCUAACUCUGUGCCAGCAGCCGCGGUAAUACAGAGACUGCAAGCGUUAUUCGGAUUCACUGGGCGUAAAGGGUGCGCAGGCGGUUGGGUGUGUCAGAUGUGAAAUCCCGAGGCUUAACCUCGGAACUGCGUCUGAAACUACUCGACUAGAGUACUGGAGAGGGUAACGGAAUUCACGGUGUAGCAGUGAAAUGCGUAGAUAUCGUGAGGAACACCAGAGGCGAAGGCGGUUACCUGGACAGUUACUGACGCUCAGGCACGAAAGCAUGGGGAGCAAAAGGGAUUAGAAACCCUUGUAGUCC